GUUGAUUAGGUGUUUUUGCAUAUUAAUUUUUCGUAUUAGUGGGGAGGUUUUUGUUUUACUCAGUC
rnacentral:tRNA from 1 species